UUUUAUGUUAAGAAAAUAAAAAGUAAAUUAGGAGUACUUCACUGUAAAUGAGGAGUGCCGAAAACGUAGACACGUAGUGCAACCGGUGAGGGGAAAAAAGAACAGAGCACGCAGUAUGCAUAUGGGGAAAGGAAACAAAACUUAGGGUUUCUGUAGAGGAGACGGAAUCAAAUCAAUAGAGAGGUUUCAAGGUAAGGAUUUAUGAUUGAGCGGUUGAAUAUAUAUAUGUGUGUGUUUGAACGAUGGUGGUGGAGGAUUUAUACGGUGUCGCAACUGGUGGUGGCUAUGUGUGGGUUCGAAAGAGUUGCAGGGGGUUUGGGGUUGUUGAGGUCUAAAUUAAAAGCGGCGGUAGUGGCUGGUAUGUAGGCGGGCUGCACAGCGGCGUUGUCACGUUCAGAUGAAGCCAACAGUGGCUAUGGCUGGGAAUUCAGGCAGCAAUUGUGUGCAGGGCUGGUGAAAGGAGGGAUGCAGGCAAGCUGUUUGAUUAAAUGUCUGAGAGAGAGAAGUUAGCGAAGGUGUGUUGUUGGGCAAUGUUAGCGCGGUUGUCGUAGAUGGGAUCAUGGCAGCGGCGGCAGCCGCAGGAGGACGGGAGGGAAGCAAGGGAGAUGGAGUAUGCGGAGAGAAGGCAGAUAGUUAUUCCAAAGCAUCUGUGUCAAAUGUCUUCCAGGUAGAUGCAAGCGGUCAAUAUUGUGUAGUUGCUGAGAUGACGGGUGCAGUACAUGGAUUUGUAGCAGCAAGAUAAAUGGCAUGAGAGCUUUCCUGUCAAGUGGCACAUUAUAAAAGAUGUUCCAAACCCAAACUCCCGGCACAUCAUUUUAGACAAUAUUGAGAACAAGCCUGUGACCAACAGCAGGGACACUCAAGAGCACUUAUAAAGUCUUUUCACGACUCUAAGUCUUCACCGAGCCUCCCACUAGGCCACUACUAUGUACAAAUUCACUUCUCGACCCUUUGCGACUAAUCUCACUUGAUUGAAGGUAGUGCGUGAGUCUUUGUAAUUUGAGAUUUCUAAGUUUUGUUUGGUUGAGUUUGUGUUUUGAUUUUAAUUUUGAACUUGGUGAAAUUUAUUCAGGCAUGUAACAUAUACUAGUGAUAUUUUUGUGUUGGUUGUGCAGGAUUACAGGCGUCUCGUUCACUUUGGAGCGCAGUUGAUGAGCUAGAACAAUUAUUUUUAUUGUGACAUCUCUGUUGUAUAAUGAUUUUACUUGUGUAAUUAGUGAUUUUUAUUAAACAGAAUUAGUGAUUUAUUUUUGGUUUAAUGGAAGUUGAUAUUAUGAUUUGUUUCGAUUAUAUGAGAGUAAUCUAAAUUGUGCAUUUGC